rnacentral:lncRNA from 1 species
GUUUGAUUUGUACCACAUGGUACAGAAGGCAUAUCCUGCUCCGUCAUGAAGGAGUGCUUGUCCAUCAUGAAAGGAUAGGUUGGGAUGCAUUUCCUUCUUGAUGGUGCCAGUGAGAAGAAAAACAUAAGUUUCGUCCAUGAUGAAUCCGUAGUAUACACCCCCCUCAGGGAGUGGCAGAAGAGUGGACGGAUUGAGAACUUGACAUCUUUGGAGGGUAAUGUUGUCAGGCAACAAAAGAUGACAUUGAAGGCGAAGAUGCCUAGCAGGAGUAACAUGCUUAAGUUGGACCUGGUUG